rnacentral:tRNA from 1 species
GGUCCUGUAGUCUAGCGGUUAGGACACUGGAUUCUGAUGAAUCACACUUCCAGUAGCCCCGGUUCGAUUCCGGGCAGGACCU